UACGGGGGGGGCAAGCGGUUGUUCGGAAUUACUGGGCGUAAAGGGCUCGUAGGCGGCCAACUAAGUCGGACGUGAAAUCCCCAGGCUCAACCUGGGAACUGCGUCCGAUACUGGAUGGCUUGAAUUCGGGAGAGGGAUGCAGAAUUCCAGGUGUAGCGGUGAAAUGCGUAGAUAUCUGGAGGAACACCGGUGGCGAAGGCGGCAUCCUGGACCAACACUGACGCUGAGUGAGCGAAAGCCAGGGGAGCAAACGGG
rnacentral:rRNA from 1 species